AUUGGGCAAUGCCCGCAAGGGUGACCCAGCAACGCCGCGUGGAGGAUGAAUGUCGUAAGAUUGUAAACUCCUGUUAGAGGGGAAGAAUAGUACCGGUUGGACCGGUAUAUGACUGUACCCUCAGAGAAAGCCCCGGCUAACUACGUGCCAGCAGCCGCGGUAAUACGUAGGGAGCAAGCGAUGUUCGGAUUUACUGGGCGUAAAGGGCGCGUAGGCGGCGCGGUAAGUCACUUGUGAAAUCUCUGAGCUUAACUCAGAACGGCCAACUGAUACUGCUGUGCUAGAGUGCGGAAGAGGCAACCGGAGUUCUUGGUGUAGCGGUGAAAUGCGUAGAUAUCAAGAGGAACACCUGAGGCGAAGGCGAGUUGCUGGGCCGACACUGACGCUGAUG
rnacentral:rRNA from 1 species